rnacentral:tRNA from 1 species
UGAAAUGUAGCUUAAUUGGUAGAGUGCCAGCGCAAGAGCUGGAGAUGGAGGUUCGAACCCUCCUAUUUCGU